AUGGAGGGAGAUUCUGUCACUCUGCAUAUUAAUCAGACUUUUACUGAUAGAAGACAUUAUCGGAAUCCUUUAUUGUGGACUGGACCUGAAGGUAAUCUUAUUGCACUAUUUUUAGUUUAUGAGAACACAUUUCAUAUUGAAUAUUCAGAUGAUGAUAUAUUCAGAGACAGACUACAGAUCGACAGUCAGACUGGAUCUCUGACCAUUAGCAACAUCAGAAGCACAGACUCUGGACUUUACGAACUUCAUGGAGACUUAAGCAAAUUAUUGUUCGAUGUUACUGUCUAUGCUCGUCUGCCCAAUCCAGUCAUCACCGGAGACUCUUGUGACUCUUCAUCAUCCAGUUGUUCGGUGUUGUGUUCAGUGUUGAAUGUGAGUGCUGUGAGUCUCUCCUGGUACAAAGGAAACAGUUUACUGUCCAGCAUCAGUGUGUCUGAUCGCAGCUCCAGUCUCUUUCUACAUCUGGACAUUAAAUGUCUGAAUGAUUCCUACUUCUGUAUUGUAAACAAUCCUAUCAGCAACCAAACGACACUUCUUAGCAACACUGAACUCUGUCAGCCAUGUCCAGGUAUGAUCAUGUGGAUUUUAAUGAUGUUGGUUUCCUUCAGUUGAGAUUUUAUUGUUGAGUUAGUCAUAAUGUAAGUGCAGAUUUGGUAAUUUGCAGAUUCUUAGUUAAACCUACUUUUUUUGUCUUCUGACUCUGUUCUGUCACUGUUAUGGUUUCACUGAAGCUGUGAUUCGAUUGGUCCCCUCUGCUGUUGGGGGUUGUGGCAACUGCAUAGUGGUUUAUGACAUCAUAUCCAGAAGACCUGAAGAGAAGAACAUUACAGUCAGUCAUUGAAUAAUUAGUCAUCAUGAAAUCAUUGCAGUUCUUGUCAAAAGUCAUAGAAAU
ensembl:processed_transcript